GGGGAUAUAGUAUAGUGGUAAUACGCCGCAUUCGCAUUGCGGAGACCCGGGUUCGAUUCCCGGUAUCUCCA
rfam:Candidatus Thrbacteria bacterium RIFCSPHIGHO2_02_FTLL_57_19 rifcsphigho2_02_scaffold_4662, whole genome shotgun sequence.